GCGGGGUGGAGCAGCUUGGUAGCUCGUCGGGCUCAUAACCCGAAGGUCGUCGGUUCAAAUCCGGCCCCCCGGCA
rnacentral:tRNA from 1 species